rnacentral:rRNA from 1 species
AGUGAACGCUGGCGGUAGGCCUAACACAUGCAAGUCGAACGGCAGCACAGUAAGAGCUUGCUCUUACGGGUGGCGAGUGGCGGACGGGUGAGGAAUACAUCGGAAUCUACUUUUUCGUGGGGGAUAACGUAGGGAAACUUACGCUAAUACCGCAUACGACCUACGGGUGAAAGCAGGGGAUCUUCGGACCUUGCGCGAUUGAAUGAGCCGAUGUCGGAUUAGCUAGUUGGCGGGGUAAAGGCCCACCAAGGCGACGAUCCGUAGCUGGUCUGAGAGGAUGAUCAGCAACACUGGACCUGAGACACGGUCCAGACUCCUACGGGAGGCAGCAGUCGAGAAUAUUGGACACUGGGCGCAAGCCUGAUCCAGCCAUACCGCGUGGGUGAAGAAGACCUUCGGGUUGUAAAUCCCUUUUGUUGGGAAAGAAAAGCAGCAGGCUAAUACCCCGCUGUUCUGACGGUACCCAAUGAAUAAGCACCGGCUAACUUCGUG